AUGCACAAGGUCCUCGCUUCCGUGUCCCUGCUCAUACCCUGGAUGCUUUGGAAGCAUUGUAGCGACUGUGUCUUUGACAUAGCCCGCCCCUCGAUCACUACCUUGAUGACGAAGAUCAAGGACGAGGUGGCCCUUUGGGCCAUGGCGGUAGCGCUAGGACUUAGAGCUCUCACGCCAGACUUGGGAUGUUCGCUGAUUUUGCGCUUUUGCAUUGUAUGUUUGCAUGCUAGAAGGAUUGUAACUCAAACCCUUCCUUUUCAAUGA
rnacentral:rRNA from 1 species